rnacentral:rRNA from 1 species
CUACGUGCCAGCAGCCGCGGUAAUACGGAAGGUCCGGGCGUUAUCCGGAUUUAUUGGGUUUAAAGGGAGCGUAGGCCGGAGAUUAAGUGUGUUGUGAAAUGUAGACGCUCAACGUCUGACUUGCAGCGCAUACUGGUUUCCUUGAGUACGCACAACGUUGGCGGAAUUCGUCGUGUAGCGGUGAAAUGCUUAGAUAUGACGAAGAACUCCGAUUGCGAAGGCAGCUGACGGGAGCGCAACUGACGCUUAAGCUCGAAGGUGCGGGUAUCAAACAGGAUUAGAUACCCUGGUAGUCCGCACAGUAAACGAUGGAUGCCCGCUGUUGGUACCUGGUAUCAGCGGCUAAGCGAAAGCAUUAAGCAUCCCACCUGGGGAGUACGCCGGCAACGGUGAAACUCAAAGGAAUUGACGGGGGCCCGCACAAGCGGAGGAACAUGUGGUUUAAUUCGAUGAUACGCGAGGAACCUUACCCGGGCU